UACGAAGGGGGCUAGCGUUGCUCGGAAUCACUGGGCGUAAAGCGCACGUAGGCGGCUUUUUAAGUCAGGGGUGAAAUCCUGGAGCUCAACUCCAGAACUGCCUUUGAUACUGAGAAGCUUGAGUCCGGGAGAGGUGAGUGGAACUGCGAGUGUAGAGGUGAAAUUCGUAGAUAUUCGCAAGAACACCAGUGGCGAAGGCGGCUCACUGGCCCGUAACUGACGCUGAGGUGCGAAAGCGUGGGGAGCAAACAGG
rnacentral:rRNA from 1 species